CUGGUAACAAAAGGGCUUCUGUGCGCUUCAGAACGUUUCGGUUGAUAAUUUACGAUAUUCGCUCUUCGUUGGUCGCCGCGUGCGGAUUCGUAUUUCGAAAGGUUGUCACCCGCGUGUCAAGGAAGCACGUGCUGAGCGCAAGGAGACGAGUCCCAGCCUCGGCGGGAACGAUUCGGCACCGGACAGCAAAUACAAAGAUACAAAACUGCCGCCUCACGACGAGCCGAACAUGAUUGUGGACAUCGUGAUCCCGUCGCUGCUGAUAGCGGCGCUGUUCAUCGGAAACGCGUUCAUCGUUCUCAUCAUAUACAAAUACCGGAAACGAAAAACCGAAGACCUGGAGGACGAGUUCAACACCAUUCCACUCAGCGUCAACGGCAAUGUGCAUAGUGCGGGCAACGCGGUUUAGUUAGGAGAAAGUUACACACCGACUGGCGGCGUGGACAGCUGUCGAGCGUCUGUUUAAACGCUGGGGAAAACGCUGCGUUUUUUUACACGGAACUAAUUAAUAUGCUUCUGUUGAAGGUUUUAUCGGUUUUCGAAAUAUCUGGAGCUCGAACAACUAAAAAAUCCGUCUCCUUUUAAUA
rnacentral:misc_RNA from 1 species